AGUAGCCGCGGGAAUACGGAGGAUCCGAGCGUUAUCCGGAAUUAUUGGGUUUAAAGGGUGCGUAGGCGGAUAGAUAAGUCAGUGGUGAAAGACGGUGGCUCAACCAUCGCAGUGCCGUUGAUACUGUUUAUCUUGAAUAUGGAUGAGGUAGGCGGAAUGUGGCAAGUAGCGGUGAAAUGCAUAGAUAUGCCACAGAACACCGAUUGCGAAGGCAGCUUACCAAGGCAAAAUUGACGCUGAGGCACGAAAGCGUGGGGAUCGAACAGGAUUAGAUACCCCCGUAGUCCCUGUCUUUUAUACA
rnacentral:rRNA from 1 species